UAAAUAUAUAAGUUACGGCCUGGCACCCCUAGCCGUAUUGCACCAACACUUGCAGACUUGUCAUACUAAGCAUUCUUUCUGAAAUAAUAAAUCAGUCAGUCAAGUUUCAUCCUUCAACCAGUGCAGUGCUGAAGUUAAUCGUCCGAACCUCCCCACGGGCCAGGAAGCAGCCAACAUGGCCCGCUUCCCGGGAACCCCGUACAUAACUGGCGCAGUCGGUCGUCUCGGUGAAUUACCGAGACUUAAGAGAAUCAGGAUGAUAAUCACGAGCCGAAACCGAGGACUGGCAGGCAAACAGCAUCGAAAAAAAUCAAUAGCAUCUUCAUUCCUUCUUUUAUUUGAUAUUUCUAACGCUUUUUACUUUUAGACUUCCACCAUAUUCACUCAACACCCGCUUGGUAACCACGUCUAGGGAAAGCAGCAGACGUGCAAAACAACCAGGCUAAUUUCUCCCCAAUGAACCUAACCAGCGUUUUGAGAGGUAGUAAUGGAUAUGAAGAAUGAGUUGUAAUUGUAAAAUUCGUAAUCAUUGUGGCGUUAACGAAAAGAACAAAAAAAAAAGGGUUUUAUGCCGUGAUUGAGGAGAGAGCAGACAUAGCUCAACCUCAACCCAAGUGCUUUUGUCCCUUCCAAAAGCCUUAGCCUGCAAAAAUUCUGAUGGAUGCUACUAAGAAACUGUACACCGAAUAUCGCUGUUAGAAUUAAGUUUGGUAGGACAAGUUAGCAAGAAAUCGUUUAAAUCAAACCAGAAAAUUCUCAUAAUUCUUAUGAGCCUGAGCCGCAUCAACCAAAUGCUAGGAAUGUGAUAUCCUUGAUACGUCAGGAAUCCUUCCUGUUGCCAUCCCGGGGCUCCAGACAACUAGAUUUGUGAGGCCCUCGACACGUCAGGACUCCGUCUAGCCUGGAACAGUCAUUGGGAAUGUGAUGUCCUCGAUACGUCAGGCAUCCGCCCUUGGACGAACUCCGCAGCAACUCGAGCACAUCAGUGGAACUCAGAGAAAAAAA